CAAAGCCCAACGGCUGAGUUGCAACACAAUCGAAUUGCGGGGAAGUCCUAAAGCCUCAGGGUACUAACCUGCUGUAGGAAUGCAGCAGGGGCCUGUGUUAAUCGCACAGGGUAUAGUAACAACCCCGGAGGAUCUAGCCAGGUGUGCUAGAAUGGACGAUCCGCAGCGAAGCCCCUAGACCAGGGGAACGUUCACAGACUAAGUGGUUGUGGGUAGGAGGGACUCCUGCUUAAGAUAUAGUCGGGCCGGCGCGGAAACGCGCUGGGGAUUCGCAAGAACGUAAACCGCUCCGUAGGUGAACCUGCGGAGGGAUC
rnacentral:ncRNA from 1 species